ACGGAGGAUGCAAGCGUUAUCCGGAUUCAUUGGGUUUAAAGGGUGCGUAGGCGGUUAUUUAAGUCAGUGGUGAAAUCCUGUCGCUCAACGAUAGAACUGCCAUUGAUACUGAAUAACUUGAGUACAGUUGAGGUAGGCGGAAUGUGUAGUGUAGCGGUGAAAUGCUUAGAUAUUACACAGAACACCGAUUGCGAAGGCAGCUUACUAAACUGAAACUGACGCUGAUGCACGAAAGCGUGGGGAGCGAACAG
rnacentral:rRNA from 1 species